UACGUAGGGCGCGAGCGUUGUCCGGAAUUAUUGGGCGUAAAGGGCUCGUAGGCGGUUUGUUGCGUCGGGAGUGAAAACUUCGAGCUUAACUCGGAGCUUGCUUUCGAUACGGGCAGACUUGAGGCAUUCAGGGGAGAACGGAAUUUCUGGUGUAGCGGUGAAAUGCGCAGAUAUCAGAAGGAACACCGGUGGCGAAGGCGGUUCUCUGGGAAUGUUCUGACGCUGAGGAGCGAAAGUGUGGGGAGCGAACAGG
rnacentral:rRNA from 1 species